rnacentral:rRNA from 1 species
GUCAUUAGUUGCUACAUUCAGUUGGGCACUCUAAUGAGACUGCCGGUGACAACCGGAGGAAGGUGGGGAUGACGUCAAGUCCUCAUGGCCCUUAUAGGUGGGGCUACACACGUCAUACAAUGGAUGGUACAAAGGGUCGCCAACCCGCGAGGGGGGAGCCAAUCCCAUAAAGCCAUUCGUAGUCCGGAUCGCAGUCUGCAACUCGACUGCGUGAAGUCGGAAUCGCUAGUAAUCGUGGAUCAGAAUGUCACGGUGAAUACGUUCCCGGGUCUU